rnacentral:lncRNA from 1 species
CAAUUUUGGGGGCGAUAUGUGAAAAGGAAUGACAACCAAAAGAAAUGGGGUGAUUGAUAUGCUAUUAAUAGGGAGUAUUAAUUAUAAUUAUGGCAGUUAAUGAAAUGCUUGAAAUAAAUUAGAAAUAAAAUAUGAAGUUUGGUGGCAACGAUGUAAAAAUAUAGGAAUACUACGACAUCUUAUAUCCUACUAGUCAUUUAAAUUUGAAAUUGGAUUUUACACAUAAAUUUAUAGAAUGAUGAAUAUAUGUCUAGGAAAUAAAAAAUAUAUGAAUUUAUAUUGGACAAGCCCGUUAAAAAAGAUUCAUCUGAAAGUUGAAUAUUAUAUUAAAGGGUUAGCUACGUAAAACCUUGACACCGAAUAAAUAGAGACUAAAAGAGAAACAAGAAUAAAUCCUUAUUCCCAUGAGCCUAGGGCUAUAAAUUCAUUUUAAAUUUAGAUGUCUCAUCCCAUAAAGGAGGAGGGGGUGAUAUAUACUGUGGUCAUACUUGUAUUUUUACUGUAUGUAUGAAGUAGCACUGAAAUCUACAUGGCUUUUGGUUGGCAUAUCUCUGCCUUGCUUAAAUAUAUGUAGGGCAUCUGCUUCGGCAUCAAGGAUGUUUCGAUGGGCACGGACUUAGUGUGUUAACGUUGUUCCGAUUAAAAUGACCUAAGAGGGACCACAUAAGGAUGACCUUAGAAUUCGAUAGGUAAAACUUUCGGGCCAAGUUAUACAAACUGACUAGUCCUACAAUCUUUGUGAAUGGGGGGUUAGAUAUAUGAGGUAUAACCAUGAAAUAGAAAUUCUCGUUACCGUGCCACUUGAGUUGGAUAAAUUUGUGUAUGGGUAAUUGGCUUUACGGGUCUCUCUUCCAUGAAAUAAACAUAUAUGUAUAUAUUUUUGAAAUCACGUCACU